rnacentral:rRNA from 1 species
AGUUUGAUCCUGGCUCAGAUUGAACGCAGGCGGCAGGCCUAACACAUGCAAGUCGAGCGGGGUUUUCGGACCUAGCGGCGGACGGGUGAGUAAUGCGUAGGAAGCUACCCGAUAGAGGGGGAUACCAGUUGGAAACGACUGUUAAUACCGCAUAAUGUCUACGGACCAAAGUGUGGGACCUUCGGGCCACAUGCUAUCGGAUGCGCCUACGUGGGAUUAGCUAGUUGGUGGGGUAAUGGCUCACCAAGGCGACGAUCCCUAGCUGGUUUGAGAGGAUGAUCAGCCACACUGGAACUGAGACACGGUCCAGACUCCUACGGGAGGCAGCAGUGGGGAAUAUUGGACAAUGGGCGCAAGCCUGAUCCAGCCAUGCCGCGUGUGUGAAGAAGGCCUUCGGGUUGUAAAGCACUUUCAGCGAGGAGGAAGGGAGUUGUGUUAAUAGCACAGCUUCUUGACGUUACUCGCAGAAGAAGCACCGGCUAACUCUGUGCCAGCAGCCGCGGUAAUACAGAGGGUGCAAGCGUUAAUCGGAAUUACUGGGCGUAAAGCGCACGUAGGCGGUUUUUUAAGUCAGAUGUGAAAGCCCCGGGCUCAACCUGGGAAUUGCAUUUGAAACUGGAAAACUAGAGUGUGUGAGAGGGGGGUAGAAUUCCA